rnacentral:lncRNA from 1 species
CACCGCAUUGAUCACAGAAUAUUUUAGCUAUUACUAUGACAUGCAAAUAUAACAUAUAACAUGCCAUAUAUCAUGUAGGAUGAUAUGUUGUCAAAUCAACAUAGCGUGACUGCAUAUGUAUACUUUAUUGUCUGUCUGUCUGUAUGUCUGUCAUCCAUCCAUCCACCUAUCCAUUCAUCCAUCCAAUUGACAGUGCUUGUACAGUACAUCACAUACCAUUAACCUGCAGGGUGUGUGUCUGGAAGAGCUGCUCGUAUCCGUCAGCAUGGCAGUCCAUCAUCUGUAUUUGGUAAUGGUGCACGCGGAGCUGUGAACUUGAAGAUGUCCGUCGCAGACUCAGGAACUGGAUGGAUUCGCAGGUGGUGUUAAAUCGGAUUGACGGAUGGCAUGAGAGCGAGUGGUCACUGCAGAGGAGCAUGUGUUGAUGAUUUCUUUCGGUUUGGAGAGGUGCUGAACUGACAGAGCCGAACUGACUCGCUCUUCUCCCAA